rnacentral:ncRNA from 3 species
AUUGUAAGUGGCAGAGUGGCCUUG